UUGGUCUUUUAUUUUUUCCUUCAUGGUGGAAAUGGGCUUCCAUAAUAACUUGCAAAAAGGAAAAAAAUUAAUUCUGGUCAGGAGUAUGUAAACAUGGCAUGAAACUUUUUGCCUUUGGUCUGGUCUUCAAACUUUCUCGUCCUUUUUUUCCCCCCUCACAGAUCUGCUGUGUAUAACACUGCAUGUGGCAGUAUUUUCUUCUUUUCAGACACUGUCUUCACAACAUUUGCCAGGUCAUCAAAAAGCUCCCACACAAAUGGAGCUCUCCGGCAGUAUGCAGUGUAAUGUCCCAGGCCAUCUUUGGUCAAGCUUCCCCUGAAAGCGACGACUGCUCUCAAAGUAAAUUUUUUUCCUUGCAGAACCAUAGUGGAGGGAAAUUCACUCAAAGCAAAUUCAGUUGAAUUUGGAAGGUCUGUGUCAAUCCAUGCUAUUUCUCCGAUACUGUAGUUGUGAGUAACGGUUCCUGCACAGAGAGCAUUUCCUGAAGUGCUGGCUCCUGUUUUUAAUUCUGCUGGACAUUCUGAUUCAUUCUGCAGUGGUCUGAGGCAGGGAGACUGUGGAAGGAAGAGUCCUUUUUCUAUGGAAGUGUGAAGCUGAGCCAUACCAGAAUUCUUCAGGACAGAAAUGUCUGGUGAAACAAAUGAUCUGCCCUCUGGAAGUAUGUCCUUGGGGUCACACCAUCUGUAGUAAUGGACUUCACCAGCUGCAGGAGAGGGUUGUCACUGUUAUUCAUGACAACAUUUUGAAAUGCAGAGCUGUCACAGAAAGUACAGCAUAAGCACUGACAAAAGGCAUCGAAGGCGCAGGUGUUUAACACAGAGAUUGACAGUUUACCAACUUUAACAGGCUGAUGCAUGUUUCCAUUUUUUAAUAGUCCCACUUUCACUCUUUUGGCCCCAGAUGAUGAAUCUGCAUGGAGCCAUUCAGUGCAGGAACUCAAGUAUGAAGUCCUCUUCCUCUUUUUGGGUGGAAGAAUUUGUCCUCUCCAGUUUUCAACCACGUUUUCAUCUGCUGUGGAAAGAGCAAAUCCGCAUAUUUCCUUCGAUGAAGGAAAGGUGCCGAAAAUGAAGCGAUCCACUGAAUGGGCAAGUUCUCAUGUUUGAACAGGCCAUGUUUUAUUUUUGAAUUCGGCUUCAACAUUGGCUGAGCUUGCUGUGAGACUGGUGCUUUUGAAGAGGGGAACCAUUAUUCCUGUCCACAGUGGUUAGGACAAGGAGUGAAGGCCUUCACCAGAGCACCAAGAAUAGCCAGGAAAAGUCACUCACAGCUUCUUUUGAACACCUUGGUAUAAGAAGAUGUGGCCAGAUGUACCAUUUGGUCUUGCCAGUUUUCUGACAACUGAACCAGUUGCAUCAAAGCAAACUACUGAGGGACAUUUUUUGGUUGCCAGGUUUGGAAGGUGACUUGGCUCGGGAUCUCCAAUAUCCAUCAACUCUGAUGCCUUUGCUGACCUCCAUACAGAUGGUUCCAUCCUGCCUUCACACAACUCUUCUGAAAUCUGUGCACGAAGGGUUCCUGACAUGAAUCUUUGGACUGGCCAGUGUGCAGGGAGAUGUCGGCGCCUUCAAUGGAACACUGGAGCACCAUUGGGCUGUUGACCGUUGGCUCUCUGUCACAUGUCAUUUUAACACGACUUUGACACUCUUUACAGAAACCUGUGAUGUCAAUGUACUUGCUAGCGACAGUUGGAUAAACUUUUGCUCUUUGGAAUACAAAUGUACAAGUGCUUUUCAACUUUUUCCAAACCAGAUCAUUAAUUAUAUGACUCCAUGUGCCAGGUUUUAAAA